CUACGGUGAAUACGUUCCCGGACCUUGUACACACCGCCCGUCAAGCCAUGGAAGCUGGGUGUACCUAAAGUCGAUAACCGUAAGGAGUCGCCUAGGGUAAAAACUAGUAACUGGGGCU
rnacentral:rRNA from 1 species